rnacentral:lncRNA from 10 species
GGCACCCCCAGCAUUACCCAGAGUGCAACAACACCAUCAGGAGAUCAAUGACCAGACUCUAUUUAUUCUUCACGCGCCUAGAAGAGCAGGACUCCGGAGGAGCUUGGGAGCGAGGCUCGGGGCUUGGCUGUCUCUGGGCGAUCUCUCCCAGACUUUUUCGGGCUGAUUUCUAAACGGCAGUUAAUAAGGAAACUGAAGCACUGAGAGGUUAUGUAACUAACUUGCCCGAGGUUAUACGAAUAGCAGGUGAAAGAGCCUGGCUUCAAACCCAGGUCUAGGUCUACAUGCACAAAACACAAGAGAAUCUGGAUUACACAGAAAAACAACAAAACUGACUAAACCAUUGGAAAUAGAACCAACAGGGAAGGAGGAGACAGAUGAAGCGUGAUUGAAUGACUUCUCUGCAAAUCGUUUGAGAUAAAGGUAUUAACCAGCUGUUCUCCAACUUCAAAGAGAAUAGAACUAGACAUAAUGCAGAGCC